rnacentral:rRNA from 1 species
AUGGCGUGGUACUUGUGCGGCGCCGCCAACUGCCACGAGAGCGCGGGUGGCGCGCCGAGGCGAAACCGCCAGGUGGGCGGCGGCCGAGAGAGGAGGUUCUGGCACCCGGAGGGGGGCAAGAAGCCCAUUCUAGGCCGGGACAGGAAACCCGUUGGGGCGUACUGGCGCACGCUCUCGUACGUGUUGAAGACGAAAAAUCCGACUGGUGCCAAAAAAUCAUUCAGAAACACAAGGCUAGGCUGGUGCAUGAUCGAGAUAGGGCUCGACCACCACCACCACUUGGUGCUCUGCAAGGUGUACAGGUCGCCUCGCAGCACGGCGGAUCCAGCCGAAUCAUGCACGACCACCGCCGGCGCGGAGGACGUCGGUCCGGCGCCUGCUGGUACCGGCUUAUCUGGAGUUGAAGACGGGCUGCAUGACUCAACGCUGCAGGGCGUGGCAGGCGGCGGCAUGCCAUGUCCUCCAGAGCCGGCGCCUGGUUCGUAUGACUACAAUCUCCAUUCCCUGGGGUUGGCCCGGAAGCCAGCUCUCCUCAUCGGCCCCGCCUCCAAGCACCGGACUCUGGCUAUUGUGAACAAGUCCAAUGCUGCUGCGUCGGUGGAGGCAACAAUCCUGAUGAAGUUCGGUGGUUCAUCGAUACCAUCGGCGGAGCGGAUGAAAGAGAUGGCCAAGCUCGUCCUCGUCUCGCAGAAUCCGGUGGUUGUAUUGUCCGCCAUGGGGAACACCAACACCAACAUUCGCCUGGCCGCAUGGAAGGCUCUGAGAUGCGGCGCCCGGAAGGCAAGCGAAAUCGACGAGCUCGCCAUCAUAAAGGAGCUGCAUCUCAGGACGAUUGAUGAGCUUGGAUUAGAUAGGUCAACUGUUUCAGGUCCAUUGGAUGAGCUGGAACAACAUCUUCAGUAUGUUGCCAUGACCAAAGAGCUGACUCCUAGCACUAAAGAUUACCUUGUUUCCUUUGGUGAACGCGCGUCUACGAAAAUGUUUUCUGGUUACUUAAAUAAACUUGGGAAACAGGUUUGGAGGGAUGUAGACAGUAUGUUCACGUGUGAUCCUAACGUUUGUGGAAAUGCUAUACAUAUACCCUCCUUGACUUUUGAUGAGGGAGUUGAGCUUAGGUGCAUCAGUGAACAGACAAUGCAAAUAGCUGUGGAAGGUGGCAUAAAAGUAACAGUUAAGAACUCGUACAACCCUCAAGCACGUGGUACUGUGAUUACUGAAACAACAGAUAUGAGCAAGAGUAUAUUAACCAGCAUUGCGUUGAAAUCAAAUAUUACCAUCCUGGACAUAGAGAGGACAAGUACGUUGGACUUGGACCAGAAUGCUUUUGUAGAAAAGGCCAUCUCAAUUUUUCAAAAUUUUGAAUACUUGAGCAUCUCAGUUGAUUGGAUAGCUACGAGUGAAGGCAAGGUGUCGUUUACAUUAGUUCCAUCAAAACUGUUGAGUCGAGAGCUGAUCCAACCGGCUCUUGAUAUGUCAGUUCAAGAGCUUCAAACUAUUGCAGAUGUUCACCGACUACAUGACAUGUCAGUCAUAUCCCUAAUUGGGAAACCGGGGAGGUCGAUAGACAUUCUUGGAAAGGCGCUAAGUAUUCUACAAAGCAGGGAUGUUGCAGUCGAGAAGGUCUCACAAGGGGUGUCCAAGGUGACGAAGGUUUCCUUGGUGGUCCAUGACACUGUGGCAAACCAUUGUGUGCAAGCCCUCCAUUCGGCAUUCUUUGAGCUUAACGACGACACCCGAGCCCUAGUAAACUCAUCCAGCUCUGGCAACAAGAGGAAGGCGGAUGCUGACCACCUUGAGGCUCCACUGGGCGUGCAUCGGGAAAAGAUGGUCACGGAACGCGUGGUUCUCGAAAAUUUGAAGCGCACAUUGUUGUCGGACAAGGACGGGGAUCCAACCGAGUUCUUUGACAGUGUGUCUAGCGACAACAUAGGAGUGUACUACAACGAUGAUCAGGCCUUGACCGCCGAUGUACUCGAAUUCGAUGGCUACUUCGGAUUUGAGGAUAUGUGA